rnacentral:rRNA from 1 species
UACGUAGGGGGCAAGCGUUGUCCGGAAUCAUUGGGCGUAAAGCGCGCGUAGGUGGCCCGGUAAGUCCGCUCUGAAAGUCAAAGGCUCAACCUUUGAAAGCGGGUGGAUACUGUCGGGCUAGAGUCCGGAAGAGGCGAGUGGAAUUCCUGGUGUAGCGGUGGAAUGCGCAGAUAUCAGGAGGAACACCAACGGCGAAGGCAGCUCGCUGGGACGGUACUGACACUAAGGCGCGAAAGCGUGGGGAGCGAACAGG